AUCAACACCAAAACCACCUCAUCAUCCCAAACCCCCAGCAGUACACCCACCACAUGUUCCAAAACCACAUCCACCUUAUGUUCCAAAACCACCAAUUGUUAAACCUCCAAUAGUACAUCCACCUUACGUACCAAAACCCCCAGUUGUGAAACCACCACCAUAUGUCCCUAAACCACCUGUUGUGAGACCACCCUAUGUUCCUAAACCACCAGUUGUACCUGUAACACCACCUUAUGUUCCUAAGCCACCAAUUGUUUUCCCACCACAUGUUCCUCUACCUCCAGUUGUACCAUCACCACCACCUUAUGUACCAACACCUCCAAUUGUGAAACCACCAAUUGUUUUUCCACCACAUGUUCCUCUACCUCCAGUUGUGCCUGUAACACCACCUUAUGUGCAACCACCACCUAUUGUAACUCCACCAACACCAACACCUCCAAUUGUGACACCACCAACACCACCUAGUGAAACACCUUGUCCUCCACCACCACUUGUACCUUAUCCACCACCAC
rnacentral:lncRNA from 1 species